AAUACAAUUAAUGUUCUUAAAAGUUUUUUGAACAACAAUCGUUGUUAAAUUUGUAGUUAAUUCAGUACGUACUAGGAAAUUUUGUUUUAUGGGGAACAUUUUUCUUUGCAGAGUUCCUCGGAGUCAAACAAAUUAUCCGAGCCGCAACAGCCACCAUAGUUCAUUCUAAUACACAUUUUUUUUUCAACAUCAAAGUACCAUUUUUGAAAAAAGGCUCUACAGGGACCCGAAGGAUUACCAGGCCAGGUCCAUGUUGGGAUAAGCCUACAUUUAUCCUUUUCUGAGAUAUUUUCAAGUCCUUCUGGUGGUUCACAUCGUAAAAGAUCAGCAGUAAUGGCCAUGGAAUAAAUACAUAAGCAACAAGUUGCAAAUGUGAUGAGAAAUAAAGCGUUCAUCUUGAUUCUGCACCUAUUGUGGUUUUACUGAAGGUUUUUUAAAAACUAAAGUUGUUUUGGGCUGGCCGAUAUCUCCCUUAAAAAUAUACUUCGUAAUUCUAUAUCAAGUUGCUUUGGGCCUUCUUCUAGUCGUCACUGCUUUGUGUCUUUCUUCCUUAUUAAUAAAUAGUCUGUAUAGGCAGUUGUUUUAACUAAUAAGCUCUUGAUUUAUAUAUAUAUUUUUUUUGUGUAUUAUUCAUAUUUAAAGUCUAAAAAUAAAUAAAAUUAUGCAAUGGCGCGUGGAGAACCAAAUAUCUUUGAUUUAAAAGUUAAAUCCCUUAAUUCAAUGUGUGAACAUUUGGAACUAUAUGAUUAUGGGGGAAGAAUUUUUUUGCCGGUGAACGUUUUACAAAAAGUCAUUAGAUUCUUUCCAGAUGAGGGAAAUGUUUUGUCUUAUGAUCCACCAUCCUCAUUAGCAUCGGAGGAAGAAAAUAAGCCACCUCAUAUGUUAUUUAAAUUAAUUGAGAAAGAAAUGGGGAGAGUAUUGUUUGUUGGUGUUUUGGAAUUUACUGCUCCUCUAGGUCAUGUUAUAUUACCUGAUUGGAUGCUAAAUUUUUAAAUGUCAAAGAAAAGGAAUGGGUAAAAGUUGAGUAUUUGAAAGUUCAUCCACCUGUGGGAAUUUCAGUAAUUUUCAAACCCGUCUCAAAGGGGUUUUCCAUGAUAGAUGAUCCAAAAUCUUUGCUCGAGGCUAAAUUAAGACAUUUUUCGGUCAUGUCCGAGGGAGAAAUCCUGCCUAUUCAAUAUCGUGAUUCCAUCCAUGAGUUAGAAGUAGUGGAAACGAAUCCAAAAGACGUUAUUGAUAUUGUCAAUAUAGAUUUGGAAGUCAUUUUUGUAAAGAGUCUACAGUCUGAAGCUGAGGAGGACGGAAGUAGUGAUAAUGACUCCAGUGUGAAGUCUCAUGAGGGAAUUCCCGACUACGACUGGGUUUUUUUGGGACAAUACAGUUCAUCAGAUAAAAAAUAAUUGUCAUUUGGCGUUAAAGUCGUCUAAAAUGAUUUCAAGGUUGAAAUCAUUACAAUUCAUAUUGAUAAGUAUCUACUGAUUAUAACUCAACCAUAACGAAACAAUGGAAUUUCCGUUUAUAUAACAUGUCAUGUCUAUAUUUGAAAUGCACUUUUUACUAUUUUA
rnacentral:lncRNA from 1 species